UAAGCAGCGACGGUUGAAGGGACGGCUACGGCGUUCGAGAAAACUAAAAUCCACUUUGCGCAUGCGCGAUUCUAUCUCGAAAUUUCCUGCCGUUGUAGCCCAACUGUCUACUACGUGAGAGCGACUGGUUUGCCGUACUCUGAAAAACGUCGGAUUUCAAGCAGACAUGUCAUCAUUUGCCAAAACUCAAGAGGAUGCUAGACCACAGUACUGUGAAACUGGACUGGAGCAUAUUCAGUGUCUGGCCAUCCUGCUCUAAUUGAAAAACUCACAAAAUAAAAUAAAUAAAUAAUAAUAAAAUAAAUAAUAAUAUAAACAAAUCAUUUUGAGAUGACCGAUGUUUAAUAAUAAAACAAAAUAUUAUACAUGCAUGUCGGGACAUUGCUCUUUAUUAAGGUGAGAUCUUAUAGUCUUGCUACUAUAACAUGUCUUGAUUAACAAUUAAAUACAAUUUUAUACUA